GGGAUUACAUCUAGGGGUGGGAUUGGGCCGGGCCCUACCCCUACCCGAGCCCAGUCUGAAAAUAAUUUUCGGGCUUCGGACCGGGCUUAGGCUCGAUGAAUAUAUAAAAAUCCUGGCCCAAGCCCAAGCCCGAGCUCGGCCCAAAGACCUUUGGGCCGGCUCGAAGACCUUUGUGCCAGCCCGAGUUUUGUUCAGCUCAAAGCCCAUGCCCGCCCACUCUCUCCCCUUCUUCGCCUCAUCCUUUGGUGCCGUGGCUGAGACCACAUUCAAGACCCUCUCCGACACGGCGACACCUUCUCUGCCAACUCCACCCCCUCCCAGUCUAUAAAGGCUCCGCCACCAUCAUCGUCCAAUCACAUGCCGCCGUCGACAUCCGAUCACAAGCCGUCGUGUUCUGGAGCUCCAGAUCUUUCUUUGCCAUCCUCCUCUAGCUCUCGAUGGCGACGAGGGCCGUGUCGGGGUUGCUCGAUGGGGGUUUCAUCCUCUUCGAGCUGAUCGAGCAAUGGGUGCUCUUGGUCCCGCUAGAUGUCUUGCCUUUCUCCGACCGCUCACGAAGAAAAAGAAUCGGAUAUCUUGAGGAGGCUCUAGAGGCCAUCACUCUUCCGAUGAAGCCUCUCAGAGAAAAACCACUACCCUGGAUGUCUUUCUCUGGCCAUCGUGUUUUUCUCAAUUCUCCUCCGUUGUUUCACUGCCCGAUGAAUCAAGUCCGGCAAUGCGUCUCCUCCGGAGGAAAUGAAGAAUGGUGACGGUGACGCCACCACCUGCAACUCCUCCCACGUUCAAGAGGCUGAGUGACACGGUGAGAGAGGAGGUGGCCGAGCAGCG
rnacentral:lncRNA from 1 species